CCGACUAUAGCUCAGAUGGUAGAGCGGGAGACUGUAGUUUAAGCUGUAAUCUCUAGGUCACUGGUUCAAUUCCGGUUGGUCGGA
rfam:Conidiobolus coronatus NRRL 28638 unplaced genomic scaffold CONCOscaffold_351, whole genome shotgun sequence.